rnacentral:lncRNA from 1 species
UUUUUCCACUGGGCGAACUUGGCGCCCCGGCCUUCGGGCGGUUAUUUUUGGGUGCGGCUUUGCCUGCGGCCUAUUUUUGGCACACGGAGGCCCCUCGCAAAGUCUCGCGGCAUUCCGAGUCCGGCGGACGAAGUGGGCCAGCCCCACCCCCCAAGGCUAUAGCCCACCCGUUUUUGUGGCAUUUUUCCGUUGGACGAACUUGGCGCCCCGGCCUUCGGGCGGUUAUUUUUGGACGCGGCUUUGCCCGUGGCCUAUUUUUGGCACAAGGAGGCCCCUCGCAAAGUCUUGCGGCAUUCCGAGGCCGGCGGACGAAGUGGGCCAGCCCCACCCCCCAAGGCUAUAGCCCACCCGUUUUUGUGGCCUUUUUCCGCUGGACGAACAAGGCGCCCCGGCCUUCCGGCGGUUAUUAUUGGGUGCGGCUUUGCCCGCGGCCUAUUUUUGGCACAUGGAGGCCCCUCGCAAAGUCUCGCGGCAUUCCGAGUCGGGCGGACGAAGUGGGCCCGCCCCACACCCCAAGGCUAUAGCCCACCUGUUUUUGUGGCCUUUUUCCGCUCGACGAACUUGGCGCCCCGGCCUUCGGCGGUUAUUUUUGGGCGCGGCUUUGCCUGCGGCCUAUUUUUGGCACACGGAGGCCCCUCGCAAAGUCUCGCGGCAUUCCGAGUCCGGCAGACGAAGUGGGCCAGCCCCACCCCCCAAGGCUAUAGCCCACCCGUUUUUGUGGCUUUUUUCCGCCGGACGAACUUGGCGCCCCGGCCUUCGGGCGGUUAUUUUUGGAUGCGGCUUUGCCUGCGGNNNNNNNNNNNNNNNNNNNNNNNNNNNNNNNNNNNNNNNNNNNNNNNNNNNNNNNNNNNNNNNNNNNNNNNNNNNNNNNNNNNNNNNNNNNNNNNNNNNNGAGGCCCCUCGCAAAGUCUCGCGGCAUUCCGAGUCCGGCGGACGAAGUUGGCCAGCCCCACCCCCCAAGGCUAUAGCCCACCCGUUUUUGGGGCCUUUUUCCGCUGGACAAACUUGGCGCUCCGGCCUUCGGGUGGUUAUUUUUGGGCGCGGCUUUACCCGCAGCCUAUUUUUGGCACACGGAGGCCCCUCGCAAAGUCUCGCGGCAUUCCGAGUCCGGCGGACGAAGUUGGCCAGCCCCACCGCCCAAGGCUAUAGCCCACGCGUUUUUGUGGACUUUUUCCGGUGGACGAACUUGGCGCCCCGGCCUUUGGGCGGUUAUUUUUGGACGCGGCUUUUCCCGCGGCCUAUUUUUGGCACACGGAGGCCACUCGAAAAUUCUCGCGGCAUUCCGAGUCCGGCGGACGAAGGUGGCUAGCCCGAAACCCCAAGGCUAUAGCCCACCCGUUUUUGUGUCCUUUUUCCGCUGGACGAACUUGGCGCCCCGGCCUUCGGGCGGUUAUUUUUGGGCGCGGCUUUGCCCGCGGCCUAUUUUUGGCACACGGAGGCCCCUCGCAAAGUCUCGCGGCAUUCCGAGUCCGGCAGACGAAGUGGGCCAGCCCCACUCCCCAAGGCUAUAGCCCACCCGUUUUUGUGGCCUUUUUCCGCCGGACGAACUUGGCGUCCCGGCCUUCGGGCGGUUAUUUUUCGGCGCGGCUUUGCCCGCGGCCUAUUUUUGGCACACGGAGGCCCCUCGCAAAGUCUUACGGCAUUCCGAGUCCGGCGGACGAAGUGGGCCAGCCCCACCCCCCAAGGCUAUAGCCCACCCGUUUUUGUGGCCUUUUUCCGCUCGACGAACUUGGCGCUCCAGCCUUCGGGCGGUUAUUUUUGGGCGUGGCUGUGCAUGUGGCCUAUUUUUGGCACACGGAGGUGCCUCGCAAAGUAUCGCGCCAAUCCACGUCCGGCGGACGAAGUUGGUCAGCCCCACCCCCCAAGGCUAUAGCCAACCGUUUUUGUGGGCUUUUUCCGGUGGACGAACUUGGCGUCCCGGCCUUCGGGUGGUUAUUUUUGGGCGCUGCUGUGCCCGCGGCCUAUUUUUUGCAAUUGUAGGCACCUCGCAAAGUCUCGCGCCAUUCCGAGUCCGGCGGAUGAAGUUGGCCAGCCCCACCCCCCAAGGUUAUAGCCCACGCGUUUUUGGGGCAUUUUCCCGCUGGACGAACAUGGCGCCCCAACCUUCGGACGGUUAUUUUUGGGCGCGGCUGUGUCCGCGGCCUAUUUUUGGCACACAGAGGCGCCUCGCAAAGUCUCGCGCCAUUCCGAGUUAGGCGGACGAAGUUGGCCAGCCCCACCCCCCAAGGCUAUAGCCCACCCGUUUUUGUGGCCUUUUUCCGCUGGACGAACUUGGCGCCCCGGUCUUCGGGCGGUUAAUACGGGCGCAGGCUAGCCUGCAGCGUAUUUUAGCACACGGAGGCACCUCGCAAAGUCUCGCGCCAUUACGAGUCCGGCAGACGAAGUCGGCCAGCCGCACCCCCCAAGGCUAUAGCCCACCCGUUUUUGUGGCCUUUUUUCCGCUGCACGAACUUGGCGCCCCGGCCUUCGGGCUGUUAUUUUUGGCCACGGCUGUGUCCGCGGCCUAUUUUUGGCACACGGAGGCACCUCGCAAAGUCUCGCGCCAUUCCGAGUCCGGCGGACGAAGUUCGCCAGCCCCACCCCCCAAUGCUAUAGCCCACCCGUUUUUGUGGCCUUUUUGCGCUGGACGAACUUGGCGCCCCGGCCUUCGGGCGGUGAUUUUUGGGUGCGGCUGUGCCCGCAGCCUAUUUUUGGCACACGGAGGCACCUCGCAAAGUCUCGCGCCAUUCCGAGUCCGGCGGACGAAGUACGCCAGCCCCACCCCCCAAUGCUAUAGCCCAACCGUUUUUGU